AUGUAGGUCUUUGUGAAGACUCUCACCGGGAAGACCAUCACACUUGAGGUCGAGUCCUCCGACAGAAUUGACAAUGUCAAGGCAAAGAUCCAGGACAAUGAGUGGCCCGUCCGCUGGUGCUGCUGA
rnacentral:rRNA from 1 species